GUAGGUGGCAAGCGUUGUCCGGAAUUAUUGGGCGUAAAGCGCGCGCAGGCGGUUCUUUAAGUCUGAUGUGAAAGCCCACGGCUCAACCGUGGAGGGUCAUUGGAAACUGGAGAACUUGAGUACAGAAGAGGAAAGCGGAAUUCCACGUGUAGCGGUGAAAUGCGUAGAGAUGUGGAGGAACACCAGUGGCGAAGGCGGCUUUCUGGUCUGUAACUGACGCUGAGGCGCGAAAGCGUGGGGAGCAAACAGGAUUAGAUACCCUGGUAGUCCACGCCGUAAACGAUGAGUGCUAAGUGUUAGGGGGGUUUCCGCCCCCCUUAGUGCUGCAGCUAACGCAUAAGCACUCCGCCUGGGAGUACGGCCGCAAGGCUG
rnacentral:rRNA from 1 species